UACGUAGGGUGCGAGCGUUGUCCGGAAUCACUGGGCGUAAAGGGCGCGUAGGUGGCGCGACAAGUCAGUGGUGAAAGCUCGACGCUCAACGUCGAGUCGGCCACUGAUACUGUUGGGCUUGAGCACUGUAGAGGCUAAUGGAAUUCCGGGUGUAGCGGUGGAAUGCGUAGAGAUCCGGAAGAACACCGGUGGCGAAGGCGGUUAGCUGGGCAGUUGCUGACACUGAGGCGCGACAGCGUGGGGAGCGAACAGG
rnacentral:rRNA from 1 species